UCUUCGUGGAAUUUUGCACUCGAAAAAACUAAUUCAUGAUUUCAUUUUAAGUAAACUUGUUUUUAGCAACAAUAUAAAUGCAAAAAUAUCUCAUAAUUUUGGCAAACUCAAAGACAUAUUAAUUCUGAGAAAAGUGUUAGUGUUACUUCGGUUUCACGCCUAUUGAGUGUUGACAAGACAUUAGAAAACAAAAAUGUUGUCAUUAUCAGAUGCAGCUAAAUUAGAAUCAUUUGGAGACAAGGCUGUAAGUCGUUUCCGUCCAUGGUGGGAAGUCCUGACCUUCUACAGUCUGAAUUGUUUGCUAAUGGCAAUCUUGUUUUCAUUGGCUGGUAUCACCAUCUCUGGUACCUACAAUAUAUGGUGUUUUCCUGAUGAUAAAGACAUGCAAUUGGACUACAGCAUCAUGAACUAUGUCAGCUCCAAAUGUUCAAGAAUCUUUGAUGGAAAGUAUCUCAUAUAUUUCCCCUACUGGAUGCUCUUGGAGUGGAGUGUGUUUUUUGUCAUCCAUCUGCUCUGGUUCAAGAUGCCAGCAACAUUUUUUCUGUUCCAACAACUAUCUGAAGUGUUCUCUGAAUUUAGCACCAUAAAGCCAGUAGAAUUCAAUACAGAAAAGAGAAUUUUACAAGGUGAAUGAAGUGAAGGUUUGAAACCAAAGAUGCCAGUCUGGAAUGUGCGGUCGUAGCUUGUGAUGACAGUACUCGUAUCCGAACGUGCUUUGUGUUUAUUUCUUCUUGUAACAAUUUGUGUAUAUAAAUUAACUCAAAUAAUCUGAAGUCUUAAGUUAAAGACGAAACGUUAUUAAUAAAUCCUUCUCUAUUUUA